rnacentral:lncRNA from 1 species
CAAGGAAGGAUUUCCUGAGCACGUGUUGCCUGUGAACUGCCCCACAGGGUGCCUGGCACUGCUGGCCUUCUGCAGUGAUCUGUGAUGCCAAACCUCUUAGUGGUGAUCAAAGCAAGUGGUUUGGACCCUUCCAAAGACCACACUCUUCAGUUCGUGGUAAGGAUUAUUCUGAACAAAAACAACAACAACCAAUCCAAAAACCAGCAAAUAGAAACCACCAAAAAAAAAAAAAAAAAGAAGCAAAAAAACCUUUUUCUUGGAUUUUAAAAACCAAUUCAAAACUAUUUAUUACUAUUAUUUUCCCCCAGCCUAGAGGCUCCUGCCCCUCUCAGCAUGCCUGGAUCCCUAAGAUCAGUGAGGUUUCCAGACUUCCUCCCUCUUUUUGUCCUGCACGAGAGCGCUUUGCUAGGCGCGCAAGUGUGCGUGUGAGGAGCGGAGAGCAGCGCCGGGAGGGAGAUUGGGACAAUAGCUGGAGUGGAUUAUUCAUUCCCGUAGGGCAAUACUUCCCUGUAUGGGCUCCAGGAUGCAGUUGGAAGCUUGGGAACAAAGCGGGCAUCGAAUGUCAAGGAAACUCAAAACGGAAGACGGGAUGCUACUUGAAAGUGUGACUCAAAAAAAAAAGGUUUUGCUUUGCAGCCAUCAGUAGCACCAGGAGACAGCUCCAUUAAAAAAGUAGUUUUCCACUGCUCUUGAAAAGCCGUUAUUUUUUACAUCGCUUUUAGGAAGAUAGAUUAACAAAACAUCACAUUUCAAGCCACUCUGAGAUGUAAUUAAAUGGAGGAGCCGGUUUGUAUUCUCCUAUGGCUUUUACAGAAGUUGCAGUGAUCCAAAGUCAGGUUGCUGUGUCAGAGUGGCAUUUUUAUUAAUGAGAAUACAAAAAGCUUGCAUAUUCUUAGCCCGGCUUGAAUUUAGUUGCUAAGCAACCGCUGUAUGGUAAUUCAUCCGCGAAAUUUAAAUCUUGGAGAAAGGAUCCUGCGUUUUGCUGAAUGGUCGCCACGAGGAAAACAACUUGUGGGACCCGCGGCAG